GGGGGGGGGGAGGCACCCUCUGGCAGGCGGCCCGGCGAGCCGCACAGAGCACGGCGAGCGCACGGCGCGGCUGCCGGCCCGCGCCCUUAACCCUUCUAUGCACCCGGGCUGGAGCGGCGCUCGCUCCAGGGGAGGCCGGGUUGUCUCUCCGCAACUGUGGCUCCGGAUCCCCGACACCGACCGGAGGGGACUGUGCCUUCCAGGGCUAACUGUGGAUCAUUCAUUUCAUCGCAAGCGAGGUAACCUGUGCACUGAGCAGUCAGUCGAUGGUGGUUCUCGGGGAAACCAAGCGAAGGAACGCUCCCCCACCCACCUUGUCCCGGUGGCUAAACGCAGACGUGGACUCCCCACCCGGCCCCCUCCGGCUACACCUCAGCCAAGCGUAAGCUCGAGGGAAGAACUCUUCUCUGGAGGCGUUCACCUUGCCAACAGGUGUGGCACCCGAAAGAAGAGCCAUCACAUCCCCACGAGGGUCGCUCAGUGCCGCGUUCUCUUUGCAGCAGAAAAUUCUUGAAGACCAGUAGGUGUCAGGCCAGCAUCUGACCUCUUUCAGGUGCUUAGAACUGAGAGUCUGGAAACUCGAUCCCUUGGUCUCGCUGGAAGCCACUACUAUUUAUUGACUCUAAGCCGGAUUUGAGAGACCUUUUGGCUCCGUUUACGUAUGACCCAACAAUUAGUCACUGUCUGAAGCAGCGUACAGAAUCACCAAGAGAAACGUGUGCGCGUUUAAACUACUGUAUUGUGGAGCCGGCACUUCAGAAGUUAAAUUAAAAAAAUAAUAAUAAAAUAAAAUAAAAGAGAUGCAGUGG
rnacentral:lncRNA from 1 species